rnacentral:rRNA from 1 species
UAGGGAAUCUUCCACAAUGGGCGGCAAGCCUGAUGGAGCAACACCGCGUGAGUGAAGAAGGGUUUCGGCUCGUAAAGCUCUGUUGUUAAAGAAGAACACGUAUGAGAGUAACUGUUCAUACGUUGACGGUAUUUAACCAGAAAGUCACGGCUAACUACGUGCCGG